AGUGAACGCUGGCGGUAGGCCUAACACAUGCAAGUCGAACGGCAGCACAGUAAGAGCUUGCUCUUACGGGUGGCGAGUGGCGGACGGGUGAGGAAUACAUCGGAAUCUACUUUUUCGUGGGGGAUAACGUAGGGAAACUUACGCUAAUACCGCAUACGACCUACGGGUGAAAGCAGGGGAUCUUCGGACCUUGCGCGAUUGAAUGAGCCGAUGUCGGAUUAGCUAGUUGGCGGGGUAAAGGCCCACCAAGGCGACGAUCCGUAGCUGGUCUGAGAGGAUGAUCAGCCGCACUGGAACUGAGACACGGUCCAGACUCCUACGGGAGGCAGCAGUGGGGAAUAUUGGACAAUGGGCGCAAGCCUGAUCCAGCCAUACCGCGUGGGUGAAGAAGGCCUUCGGGUUGUAAAGCCCUUUUGUUGGGAAAGAAAAGCAGCAGGUUAAUACCCCGCUGUUCUGACGGUACCCAAAGAAUAAGCACCGACUAACUUCGUG
rnacentral:rRNA from 1 species